rnacentral:misc_RNA from 1 species
GAUGAAGAACGUAGCGAAAUGCGAUAAGUAGUGUGAAUUGCAGAAUUCAGUGAAUCAUCGAAUCUUUGAACGCACAUUGCGCCCCUUGGUAUUCCAUGGGGCAUGCCUGUUCGAGCGUCAUUUGUACUCUCAAGCUAAGCUUGGUGUUGGGUGUUUGUCCACUCCCUCGUGUUUGGACUCGCCUUAAAACUAUUGGCAGCCAGUGUUUUGGUAUUGAAGCGCAGCACAAUUUGCGAUUCUAGCCUAGAAUACUAGCAUCCAUCAAGUCAUUUUUAACGCUUGACCUCGGAUCAGGUAGGGAUACCCGCUGAACUUAAGCAUAUCAAUAAGCGGAGGA